rnacentral:lncRNA from 1 species
GGAGGGGCAGGCCGUGUGGCCUCCGGAGAUGGCAGCAGACGGAGAUCCGGGCAGAGAAAGAAGCACCUGCCUUGCCUCCUUCCCUCCUUUGCCUGUCCAAAGGUGAAUGAUAUGAGUCGGGCAGUGUGCAUGUCUUCCCAGAAGAAAAAAUGAGGCUCAGAUGUGACUCGGUGUCCCCGUGUCUCUGGGAUGCCUUCCCCUUCCUUGACCUCCAUGGGGCCUUCCUCAGCUGAUCACUCACUGUUCCUGCCUCCCAGCCGAUGGCUCUGAUUCUCAAUGGCUUCUGCAUAGUGAAUGCUGUCAGGCAAUCUUCCUGGAUAUCUCCUUCACGACGUUGCUCCUUCUGCCUGAGAAUCUGUAACGAGCACGGAAGGUCUCUGGAUGUUGUGGGGACAUGCUGGGUUGUUCUGAUGGGCCUUUUGGGGGCUCCUGUCCGGUGCCCCGGGAAUGUCUGUGUGGGAGGACUUGGUGUGGCAAUCUGGUUGGAAGGGAGGGGUUACUGUUGUAGAAAGCACACCAUCUUUACCUCCUGCGUCGUCAUAAAGCCA